rnacentral:rRNA from 1 species
GAUGAACGCUGGCGGCGUGCCUAAUACAUGCAAGUCGAGCGAACAGACGAGGCGCUUGCUCCUCUGACGUUAGCGGCGGACGGGUGAGUAACACGUGGCUAACCUACCUAUAAGACUGGGAUAACUUCGGGACACCGGCGCUAAUACCGGAUAAUAUAUUGAACCGCGUGGUUCAAUAGUGAACGACGGUUUUGCUGUCACUUAUAGAUGGAUCCGCGCCGCAUUAGCUAGUUGGUAAGGUAACGGCUUACCAAGGCAACGAUGCGUAGCCGACCUGAGAGGGUGAUCGGCCACACUGGAACUGAGACACGGUCCAGACUCCUACGGGAGGCAGCAGUAGGGAAUCGUACGCAAUGGGCGAAAGCCUGACGGAGCAACGCCGCGUGAGUGAUGAAGGUCUUCGGAUCGUAAAACGCUGUUAUUAGUGAAGAACAAAUGUGUAAGUAACUAUGCGCGUCUUGACGGUACCUAAUCAGAAAGCCACGGCUAACUACGUG